GCGGGGGUGCCCGAGCCAGGUCAAAGGGGCAGGGCUCAAGCGGGCCUCGCGGCCCCGAGAGACCCUGUGGCGUAGGCCUACGUGGGUUCAAAUCCCACCCCCCGCA
rfam:Thermoproteus sp. AZ2 contig44, whole genome shotgun sequence.